rnacentral:lncRNA from 1 species
GGCCUCAGUUUUCUCAGGAAAGAUCUGGACUAGAUGAGCUCUGAGGUCCUGAUGGUUAAAAUUCCACGGCUCAAGGAUUAUUCUUUUUGCUGUUAUUAAGAUGGAGUUGUCGAGAGGAGAACUGAGUCAUCGUUGCAGCAAGAAGAAACCAGGCCACGCCUUUAACACUUUGUUUGGAAAUCUCCUCAGCUAAAUUCCAAGCUCAUCACUUACAACUUCUACUUUCCACCCAACGCUAGAACCAAAUUCAGAGAGGAAGACUGAGCACUUUAGUGUCUAAGCUCCUGUUAUAACAGGGUCUAUCCACCACUGCAUGCUGGAGUGAACAACAUAACAGUGAGAGAGAGAACUGCUACCUACCGUGCAGAAGGAAUUGAGCUGGCUAGGUUCUGAAUGCAUGCAGAGUUGAAUAACAUGAAAACAGCCAAAGAAAAAUCAUCAUGCAAGGAAAAUACAAUUGGAAUGCCAAAGCAAUCCCGGAGCUGUCUAACAUGCUAGCUUUUACCUGCUGUUCCGUAAGUUAGCUUUUGAAAAAAAAAAUUCACAUCAAUCCAUGUUCAUCAUUAAAAUUUUU